rnacentral:lncRNA from 7 species
GGUGCUGGGGGUGGGGGGGUCAGCCCCAAGGAGAAAGUCUCCCCCACGGAAGACAUGGAUUGCUUAGCUCCCCACUAAGCUCCCAUUGCCUCCCAGUAUUGUCUAGAGUCAUCUUGUGCAAACUCAGUGCCCCCCAGUGCUGCCUGCGCCCUCAAUAGCCUCCCAGUGCCCUGCAGUGGGCUGCCCAGUGCCCCCAGCUCAACACAGCCACUGCUCAGUCCGUGACCAUCUCCUUCCCCAGGAGCAGCACAAGGCAACAGAGACGUUGACAGCAGCGAUGGUGAUGGAGAUGUUCGGACUGGAGGAGCUCUUGGCUCGCUGCAGCCACCCCAGCAUCCCCGGAGCUCCCUGCUGGCCCCGGAGGAGUCCGAGUGCUCUGUGCUGGAAGAAGAGGAGUCGAGGCUGCUGGGGACAUCAGGGC